GACGAACGCUGGCGGCGUGCUUAACACAUGCAAGUCGAACGGAAAGGCCCUGCUUUUGUGGGGUGCUCGAGUGGCGAACGGGUGAUUAACACGUGAGUAACCUGCCCUUGACUUUGGGUUAACUUCAGGAAACUGGGGCUAAUACCGGAUAGGAGCUCCUGCUGCAUGGUGGGGGUUGGAAAGUUUCGGCGGUUGGGGAUGGACUCGCGGCUUAUCAGCUUGUUGGUGGGGUAGUGGCUUACCAAGGCUUUGACGGGUAGCCGGCCUGAGAGGGUGACCGGCCACAUUGGGACUGAGAUACGGCCCAGACUCCUACGGGAGGCAGCAGUGGGGAAUAUUGCACAAUGGGCGGAAGCCUGAUGCAGCAACGCCGCGUGCGGGAUGACGGCCUUCGGGUUGUAAACCGCUUUCGCCUGUGACGAAGCGUGAGUGACGGUAAUGGGUAAAGAAGCACCGGCUAACUACGUG
rnacentral:rRNA from 1 species